rnacentral:tRNA from 1 species
AAUUACUUGGCUGAAUGUUAAGCAGGUACCUUGAAAGUACCAUAAAAGAGUUUAAUUCUCUUAGUAAUUU